CGAGUCCGCUAAGAUGCAAUUACCUGGAAUGUCCACCCAACUAAACCCUGGCUAUUUACAGGAUCGAAAAGAACACAACACUGAAAAAUACCAACGAUGUAACUUGCUCAAGGUGUCCCCGCCAGAGACCUUUGCUCCGACUCUAUAGGCAAUGUGACAAAAAUUGCCUACUAAUUUGGGUCACUAAAUGCCGCCUCAACCAAGAGACCACGCACGACUCCAUCUUCCACAUCGCAUGUGUUUACGCUGUGCUCCGAGAAACAAGGGUCCAUGUGGGCAUUUCUUCAAUGUCACGUUUGUCUGAGACAGGUACACAGUAGGAAUUUAAGCCUCUAGGGCGAGUCGAGAGGACGUGUCGAACACAGCACCAAGAUCCCUUUUCAAGUGCUAGACAAAUGGUCGUCGUGGACGUCGCCGUCGUUGAAGGUGGCUCUCGAAGGUAUACCAACAACCAGAUCCGCACACCCCGCGGGACAUUGAAACAAUACCCAGAAUUACGACGACGGCCAAGGGAAACUGAGCCACCACCACGAGGGCCGAUGAACGGCGAACCUGAAUUGAGGGGAGAGUCCUACCAGUCUCUAUGGUUCUAGGUUACGUCCGUAGUGAGGAGACGGACCGAUCGGGCGGAUCAUAUCCCCCCGUGGGUCGAGUGAGUCAAAGGGGAUUGGGAGGAAGAUUUGCCAGACAAAAGAGCGCCUGUCUUAAGACAAAGUCACAGACAAGAAGUCACCAUUGAAGCUUGCGACUGAUAAGCAUCACCCACGUUUAUUGUAUCCGAACUGUCUACACGGGAGCACCCCCAGUAGUGGGGUAUGGUAGUAUGCAAAAUAUUUUGUCAAACACAAUGUGACACUUUCUAGGUCCCCUGAUCCGCCUUUCUUUCUCUCUCUUUAGAUGUAUCUCUUUGCCGGACAAUGUCGCUCUUGGGUAGAACAAAAGUGUGGAGAUCAAACUGGAUAUCAACGGCUAUUUAUGGAGGCCGUGCAUCAAAAGAAUUCUCUAGUUGGCUCGGGAUAUCUUGAUCGUUCCACUUUCAUCAUUGCGCACCUGGUUUGCGUUGGUCUCAUUUCAAUUUCCGAGGGCUUCAGACUCCUUAAUCCUUUCUUCAACCAUUUCAUCCAACAAUUGACGUCGUUGACCGAGGAACAAAUUGGAGCGGAGAUGGUGACUUAAAAAUGGGCUUGAUGACAAUUGAACAAAUUCCUCAUCACACUCACCUCAAAUUGAGGCAAUUUAUGGGCCAAGUACUUCCAUUUGGGUGGCCAUUACAUGUGUGCUUUCAGUGGUUGAGGGAGAGUAGUACCUUUUCUAGCUCUUUCUUGUGAGCUUGUGCCUUUGUUGGGGGAACAAUGAACAAAUAUUUUGGGGGAGGGCUCAACAAAUCUCACCUUAAUGAACUCUGAAGAAAAUGAAGACGACUUGCCUCAGCCAGCAUCGUCGUUUUCUUCUCAUUACGAAUAUUAGUACGCCUAACUUGUCUUAUGUCAAGACGGGUUCCAUUUUAGUUCUCAAUAGCGAGAUCUUGAAUACCCUCAUUUUGCGAGGUCCAUAUUCAUUCUUUGUUAAAUGAUUGGAACCCUUAAUAGGCCAAUAUGAGUGUUCGUCUUUCUGGGCUGGAACGAAUCCUUCGUUGGGGGUACACUUGGUGGAUGGUUUGGCUUUGUGUUCAGAGAGUGAUGAAAAUAGAUCAGGCACUAUGAAGAGGGGAUAUUUUAGCACAUGCAGAGAUGUUGUUGUACAAUACAAAUCCCCUCUCUUACCCUAAUUUGUUCGGCUUGGCAGGAGGCGACAAUUCCGCUCUACACUCAAUUAAUUAACAUUUAUGGGCCAUGUCAAAGUGGCGUAUCACAAGGCAAGAUCCUCGCACCACUAUGGUCCAUUAAAUAGCACUUUCCAAAGAUAGAAUACGGUUUGACACGCUUGAAAAUGUCAUAUCAGCACAGAUUGGAUGUGGUCCAUGAAUACUAUUCAAGUUAUUAUGCCCACAGACUGGCUGCAAGCCCAAGUACAAGCAAGCACACAUACCACACAAUGUACAUAAAAGCCCUGAACGUAACGACGGCGAUUGGUUAUUUGAUUCCUAUAAUGAGCUGAGCUGUCAAAUAUGCAUUGUCAUGGGAAAAAAUGGAAUUGGAAAUGCCAAGUUGUUCUAAAGAAUUAUCCAAGAUGGAAUGUACGGUUGCAAUUGUUGGUAUAUGCCUGGUACAUGGAGGAGAGAGUCUUCACUCCUCCAUGUACCAAGGAGUUGCAAGAAGUGAAAUUAGUGUAAGGUACAAAGCUAUGUUUACAUGGCAUGGCAUACUACCAACACUCGUUCAAUUCUAUGUAUGUGAAGAUGAGAAAAGAAAGCAUCAGUAAAAACAAUUGCUGGUCUUUUAUUUUCCUCUCUGAGUUCUUCC